UACGAAGGGGGCUAGCGUUGUUCGGAAUUACUGGGCGUAAAGCGCACGUAGGCUGAUAGUUAAGUGAGGGGUGAAAUCCCGAGGCUCAACCUCGGAACUGCCUUUCAUACUGGCUAUCUCGAGUCCGGAAGAGGUUAGUGGAAUUCCUAGUGUAGAGGUGAAAUUCGUAGAUAUUAGGAAGAACACCAGUGGCGAAGGCGGCUAACUGGUCCGGUACUGACGCUGAGGUGCGAAAGCGUGGGGAGCAAAC
rnacentral:rRNA from 1 species